ensembl:lncRNA
CGACGACCUCAUAUUACGGGUGGGAGUGGAAGUGGGAGUGGGUGGACCUCCGUGGGGAGCCAGCGUGGAUAGAGUGCUGGGGUCAUCUCCCCGCCCCCUCCGCACGGCCAACACCGAGGUGACUUAAGGUGCCUAGUGUCGGUGUGAGGUCCAGGUUUAAAAUGUCAUCCCCGCCAGUGUGACAUCACCACCGCCUAGUGUGACACGUCCAGAGACUGAGCAGCGCGCGGGGAGGCAGCUGGAUUUUUCAGGCAAGAAUACUGAAGUGGAUUGCCAUUUCCUCCACCAGGGGAUCUUUCUGACCCAGGGAUCAAACCCACAUCUGUUGCAGAAUAAUUAUAUUGUGUGCUUCUCAGAAUAUCACACCCAAAGUUAGAUGAUGUCCCUGUUCCUCACUGGAUUCUACAUAUAAUGAUAGAGGCUGAAACUCCAAUACUUUGGCCACCUCAUGCGAAGAGCUGACUCAUUGGAAAAGACCCUGAUGCUGGGAGGGAUUGGGGGCAGGAGGAGAAGGGGACGACAGAGGAUGAGAUGGCUGGAUGGCAUCACCGACUCAAUGGACGUGAGUCUGAGUGAACUCCGGGAGUUGGUGAGGGACAGGGAGGCCUGGCGUGCUGCGAUUCAUGGGGUCGCAAAGAGUUGGACACGACUGAGCGACUGAACUGAACUGAACUGACUGAAGGGCGUAGUUAUGGACUCCAGUAUUUUUGCCUGGAGAAUUCCAUGGACAGAGGAGACUGGUGGGCUACAGUCCAUAGGGUCACACAGAGUUGGACACAACUAAGAGACUAACACUGUCACACUUAUCUAAACUCCAUCCCCUAGAUUCGUUCUUCCCUAUUAAUAGAAUCCCAGUUUCAUUCAGGUAGAAGGAAGAUCCUUUGAUUUCAAGGAAGCUAAGUUCCUCUCCGUUAAGUGAAAAAAUGAAAGUGUUAGCCACUCAGUCAUGUCCGACUGUUUGCGACCCCGUAGACUGUAGCCUGCCAGGCUCCUCUGUUCUUGGAAUUCUCCAGGCAAGAAUACUGGGGUAGGCAGCCAUUCCUUUCCCCAGGGGAUCUUCCCGACUGAGGGAUUGAACUUGGGUCUCCUGCAUUUCAGGCAGAUUCUUUAUCAUCUGAGCCACCAAGAAGCCCUUUCCCACCCCCAAAUCAGGGGCUAAAUCACAAUACGUCUAAAUCAAUCUGGUGAUACCAUUUCUCCUUGCCAAUGAUUGGUCUAGGAGUGGGUACAAGACACAGUUCUGGUUAAUGAAACAUGAAAGGAAGUCUUCUGGGAGGCUCUUAGGAAAUUGUUUAUUUUUGCAUAAAGAGAAAAUUUUCUUUUGCUCCUUUCUCUGUCUUUUGGCUAAGACAAAAGGAUGAAUACCCAAGGUCUGGAGCUACCAUGGCUGUCUUGUGCUCAAAUGGGGCAUCAGUCUUUGUUUUUAGUAACUAUCUUAAGUACAUUUUUCAUGUAAAAUGUGAACAGAGGAAUAAAUAUGCCAUUAUGUUAUCAUAUAUAAGGGAUAUUAGCUCAAGUAUGACAGGUACACUCUUGGGAAGAAGUGGUUAUCAUCCGUACAAGGCCGCAGAGAAGAGCAUGAUAUACAAAAUUGAAAAUGGAAUCACCCAUGCACAUUUGGAAGCUGCCCAGGAUAAUCAGGUCAUUUUGAGGAUUGGGUUCCAGCAGAAGUGAUGGCUUUGGCCGAACAUGAGCUUGGGUGAAGACUAUGCCUGUGGGGUUAAAGAGAAAGAGUCAAGGACUUCCCUGGUGGCACAGCAGAUAGGAAUUCACCUGCCGAUGCAGGGGAAAUUGGUUCGAUCCCUGGUUCGGAAAAAUCCUGUAGGCAACUAAAGCCUGUGCACCACAACUGCUGAAGCCUGUGUGCCUAGAGCCUGUGCUCUCCAACAAGAGAAGCCACCACAGUGAGAAGCCUGUGUACUGCAGCCAAGAACGGGAAAGUGACUCCAGAGCGAGGUGGCGGUGCACAACACUGUGAAUGCAUUAAAUGCCACUGAAUUGUACACUUAAAAAUAGUUGUUUGUUAUGCGAAUUUCACCUCAGUUUUUUUUUUUAAAAGGAGGAUGAAAGUUUGCAGGAUUUAGAAAUAAUGGGUAAAAGACUUCACCCCUAAUUUUUCUGAUUUUCAAGAGUCAACCCAGAGACUCUUCUGGGAGAAGAGCAAAUGCCUUAACCACUUACACAACAAUUAUGAGGGAAGGAGGGUUUGAGGUUUCAUUUCUGUUUCCUCCCUUAUCCACACAUAACCAUCGUCCUGUCUCUCAUUUUCUUCAUAUACUAGAUCUUUAUUCAGCAAAACCAAGGGAUAGUGCUUUUCUCUCCUUUUACCUGGAUCAGCAUCAUUCCUCAUUAUCA